rnacentral:lncRNA from 1 species
UCCCUACUUCUUCCAACGUCCGUCUCGAUAGGAAACACAGUAGAACGUUGUCCCUCAUAAUAUACCCGCUCCUGAUUCUGAGGAACCGGAGCCGCAGAUUGUUUGCCCCUCUCGAUCACGUAAACAACAGGAUAUUUCUUCUGCUCGGAAAUCAGCCGGUUCAAAUCUGAAUCGGCCUUCAAAGCCACUUUUAUUUUUCGCCCUUCGUCCGUGGUCGAUAUGUAGAAAAGCAUAUAAGUGGAUCGUCCAUCCUCGUUUAAUUGAUCGUGCA